rnacentral:rRNA from 1 species
GUUUCUUUGCUGACGAGUGGCGGACGGUUGAGUAAUGUCUGGGAAACUGCCUGAUGGAGGGGGAUAACUAUUGGAAACGGUAGCUAAUACCGCAUAACGUCGCAAGACCAAAGAGGGGGACCUUCGGGCCUCUUGCCAUCGGAUGUGCCCAGAUGGGAUUAGCUAGUUGGUGGGGUAACGGCUCACCUAGGCGACGAUCCCUAGCUGG